CCCUUAGAUGUUCUGGGCCACACGCGCGUUACACUGAUGAAGCCAGCGGGUAUAUCGCCUUCACCGGAAGGUGCGGGUAAUCUUGUGAAACUUCAUCGUGCUGGGGAUAGACCAUUGCAAUUAUUGGUCUUGAACGAGGAAUUCCUAGUAAGCAUGAGUCAUCAACUCGUGCUGAUUACGUCCCUGCCCUUUGUACACACCGCCCGUCGCUACUACCGAUUGAAUGGUUUAGUGAGAUCUCGGGAUUGGAGACGUUGCGCCGCAAGGCACAUCGUCCUCGAGAACUUGAUCAAACUUGAUCAUUUAGAGGAAGUAAAAGUCGUAACA
rnacentral:rRNA from 1 species